rnacentral:rRNA from 1 species
AGAGUUUGAUCCUGGCUCAGGACGAACGCUGGCGGCGUGCUUAAUACAUGCAAGUCGAACGAUGAAAGCUGGAGCUUGCUCCGGCUGGAUUAGUGGCGAACGGGUGAGUACCACGUGAGUAACCUGCCCUUCACUCUGGAAUAACCGCCGGAAACGGUGGCUAAUACCGGAUACGACCCUCGGAGGCAUCUCCUGGGGGUGGAAAGAUUUAUCGGUGAGGGAUGGACUCGCGGCCUAUCAGGUAGUUGGUGAGGUAAAGGCUCACCAAGCCGACGACGGGUAGCCGGCCUGAGAGGGUGACCGGCCACACUGGGACUGAGACACGGCCCAGACUCCUACGGGAGGCAGCAGUAGGGAAUAUUGCACAAUGGGCGCAAGCCUGAUGCAGCAACGCCGCGUGAGGGACGACGGCCUUCGGGUUGUAAACCUCUUUUAGUAGGGAAGAAGCGAAAGUGACGGUACCUGCAGAAAAAGCACCGGCUAACUACGUGCCAGCCGCCGCGGUAAUAC